AACGCACAUUGCGCCCAUUAGUAUUCUAGUGGGCAUGCCUGUUCGAGCGUCAUUUCAACCCUCAAGCCCUGGCUGCUUGGUGUUGGGGCGACUGGACCGCUGACGGCGUGGGCUCUCUGUAGCCCGUAGCCCGAACGACCGGGCCCCGAAAAACAUUGGCGGGCGCGCCGCGACCCCGAGCGUAGUAGUGAACCUCAAAUCGCUCAGGGCGUCCGGCCUGCGUCUUUCUCGCCGUAAAAACCCCUAAACUUCUGAAAAUUUGACCUCGGAUCAGGUAGGAAUACCCGCUGAACUUAA
rnacentral:misc_RNA from 1 species